AGCGAACGUUUGCGGCGGGCCUAACACAUGCAAGUCGAACGCACUAGCAAUAGUGAGUGGCGCACGGGUGCGUAACACGUGGGUAAUCAACCCUUCAGCCUGGGAUAACGACUCGAAAGGGUCGCUAAUACCGGAUACGGCGCGAGAGGCUUCGGCUUCUCACGAGAAAGCCACGCAAGGGGCACUGAAGGACGAGCCUGCGGCCCAUCAGCUAGUUGGUGAGGUAAGAGCUCACCAAGGCUAAGACGGGUAGCUGGUCUGAGAGGAUGAUCAGCCACACUGGAACUGAGACACGGUCCAGACUCCUACGGGAGGCAGCAGUGGGGAAUAUUGCGCAAUGGGCGAAAGCCUGACGCAGCCACGCCGCGUGAGCGAUGAAGGCCUUCGGUCGUAAGACUCUGUGGGGUAGGAGACGAAGAAAGACCU
rnacentral:rRNA from 1 species